UAUAAGAAGCCCUAGCGAUGGCGGAAGAAUCAUCAUCAACAUCUGUUAUUCUUCAGUUUGCUCCAUUCCAAAGUGCUGUUGAUGAUGGAUUAAUCUCCGGUCUCAAUCACUGGUAUAAAGUUAAAUUCUUAAACAGUUCUAUCCCUUUUUUCGUUAAUCGUUAUGAUGAUAUAUAUUUGUGUGGUUGGCAUGGAGUCGGAGAUGGGUUUGUGCGAUUCGGAGUCUGCCAAGGGUUUGAGGAGAAUACACUCAUUUCAGUCGUGGUAACAUCAGAUCAUGCACACAAAGUGUUUGAGGAAAUGCCUGACAGACCAGUUGAAGAACACAGAUCGAACACAGAUCGUGGACAGAGUUUGGGUGGAAAAAGUACUGAUGUUUGUUCUCUAUCAUGCCUUAUGGUUUUGUUAUUUUUCAUUCAUCUAACUUCUGAGUUUCUUUUUCUAAGUCGUUCAUGCAUCUCUUAAUGUUGUCCAUUGGCAGAGCUGUAAGAGGGAAAUAAUGCUGCGGUUUUUUAGUGGUGAGGAACGUACGAUUGUUUCUUAAUGUAAGAAUCUUCUUUCAUUUUAUUGUAUGUUUGGGUGCAGCUGAUUGUGUUGGGUGGAUGCAUGAUAUCGCAACUUGAAUGGAAAAUCAAUUCAUACUUUCCUUAUUAAUGGCUCUAAUCUGAGUUCAAUUGUAAGGAAAAUUUCAACUAUUUUGUGCUUUCUCAAAUGUGAGGCAUCUGAAAAUGUUAUAAUCCAUGGACAAUAUCUUAUGUUUACAGCUUUGAGGGUCUUUGAUUGAGGGUUAGUUGGACUCUAUUACAGUCGAGUUAAAUUAGUUGCACGUGAGUUAAUUGUAAGGAAAAUUUCAACUAUUUUGUUCUCUCUCAAGUAAUUUCAGUCUCCCAGGGCAUAUAUGCAGAGGGAUGUUUUAAAGUACGAUUACUACAUUGGUGCUCAGCCAUUAGCAGGAAGACUCACCCGAGUACAUUCACCAAUUUAGCUGCAAAAGUCCCAUGUCUUCUCAUCCGCCAUUCAAGGAGGCUCCUCUUGGUAACAUUUCCACAAUUGCACUCCGUGACACAGAUUCACAAAUACCAUAUAUUGAUAUCAGUGUCAAUUGGAUGUUGGUAAGAAAUAAGGAUGACUCUGCAAAUACGCGAAACCAUUCUCUCAGGACAUUAGUGGAGUCUGGUGGAUGACUGGGAAGACUCCAUGGCUUCCUUUUGGUUUGGCAUCUCUUUUAUGUCAUCCUUGGAGGCAGAAAUGUACGUGGUAUAUUCAUGUUUUCCUGCCAUUCAAUAAAUUAAUCAUGUUUCUUAGACAUAGCUAGGAAGGUUGGAGUUUUAGCCACAUUAAGAAUCCAUCACACAUGAUUAAACACAGUCAAACUUAUGGAGAUAGUAUCACUUAAAAAAUUGGGUCCAUAUCAAUUCACUUAUCAACAUGGGAUAAGGAACCAGAGGUUAAAGUGGAUGAUGUAAGAUGUAAUACGAAUUGUGGCUGUGAAAUUUUCACCAUCACCCCUUAUCUAUCCUUUUUGAUAAUGACAU